rnacentral:rRNA from 1 species
UACAGAGGGUGCGAGCGUUAAUCGGAAUUACUGGGCGUAAAGCGCACGUAGGCGGCUUGGUAUGUCGGGUGUGAAAUCCCCGGGCUCAACCUGGGAACUGCAUCCGAAACUGCCUUGCUAGAGUAUGGGAGAGGGAAGUGGAAUUUCCGGUGUAGCGGUGAAAUGCGUAGAUAUCGGAAGGAACAUCAGUGGCGAAGGCGGCAUCCUGGACCGGCAUUGACGCUGAGGAGCGAAAGCCAGGGGAGCAAACGGG